ACAAAGCACUGGCAUAGGAGAUACCACGAUCACGGAGGUGGUUUUCCCAGGGCGAGGCUUAUCCAUUGCACUCUGGAUAUGCUGACCCCUGCGAUUAUCCCAAUGUGGGAAACUCAACUGCAUUAUUUAUGGUAGUGGGGGACUAUGUGUGUGCUCUCCCCUG
ensembl:snRNA U1 U1 spliceosomal RNA